rnacentral:lncRNA from 1 species
UGUAACCACUUUUAAAAGCUCUUUGUCUGUUUUUCCACUGCGCUGCAUGGCCGUGGAGAACAGCUUUUCCAGUGCAGACUCUAAAGAAAUGGAAACUACACUUUGGUUCAUUCACAGAUUCAUUCAAUAGGUUGUCUACUUACCAUGUGCCAGGCCCAGUGGGUGACAAGGCAAAUAAAAUACGCUUGAUGCCAACCCUCAUUGGUGUCUACAGUGUUAAGCUCUGCGUGUGAGUAGAAUAGAAUGUGGGAGAGGCAACUGGGAGAUGGGUAAGGGAGACUUUUCUCUGAAUAACAUUUUGUAUCUUUUGAAUUUUGAAUCAUGUGAAUGUAUCAAAAAAUAAGUGUAAGUAAAAAUAUUUUUACAACUUUAAAAAUAGGUUUUACUGGACUGGAGCACUCAGAGGACAACAGAGCGGAAGUGGAAAGCAAACUAACCUUUUAUUGAGCAUUUACUGUGAGCUAGACCUUCAGCCAGGUGCUUUAUGUACAUGAUGUCUUUUAAUCCACACAACCCUGGACAAAGGCAGUAUCAUCCUCAUUUUUAUCCAUUUUAAAUGGAAGCUUGCCAGGUAUGGUGGCUCACACCUGUAGUCCCAGCACU